rnacentral:rRNA from 1 species
GACGAACCGUGCGAACGUUAUUCGGAAUCACUGGGCUUAAAGGGCGCGUAGGCGGUGCGGUAAGUCACCUGUGAAACCUCUAGGCUCAACCUAGAGCCUGCAGGCGAAACUGCCGUGCUUGAGGGUGGGAGAGGUGCGUGGAAUUCCUGGUGUAGCGGUGAAAUGCGUAGAUAUCAGGAGGAACACCUGUGGCGAAAGCGGCUCACUGGACCAUAACUGACGCUGAUGCACGAAAGCUAGGGGAGCAAACAGG